rnacentral:rRNA from 1 species
GACGAACGCUGGCGGCGUGCUUAACACAUGCAAGUCGAACGGUGAAGCGCCUUCCUUUUUGGUGGGUGUGGAUGAGUGGCGAACGGGUGAGUAACACGUGAGUAACCUGCCCCCUUCUUCUGGAUAACCGCAUGAAAGUGUGGCUAAUACGGGAUAUUCUGGGUCUGUCGCAUGAUGGGUCUGGGAAAGAUAUUGUUUCGGUGGGGGAUGGGCUCGCGGCCUAUCAGCUUGUUGGUGGGGUGAUGGCCUACCAAGGCGGUGACGGGUAGCCGGCCUGAGAGGGUGGACGGUCACACUGGGACUGAGACACGGCCCAGACUCCUACGGGAGGCAGCAGUGGGAAUAGUGCACAAUGGGCGCAAGCCUGAUGCAGCGACGCCGCGUGAGGGAUGGAGGCCUUCGGGUUGUGAACCUCUUUCGCCAGUGAAGCAGGCCUGCCUCGUUUGUGGGUGGGUUGACGGUAGCUGGAUAAGAAGCGCCGGCUAACUACGUG